UUUUUUGAGGAUUUGAUCCUGGUCCAGGACGAACGCUGGCGGCGUGGAUAAGGCAUGCAAGUUGAACGGCCGAGCACCAGCAAUGGUGCUCGGUAGUGGCGAACGAGUUAGUAACACCCUGGUACGUACCCCAAAGACGGGCAUAACUCCGCGAAAGCGGAGCUAAUUCCCGAUAGCGAAGCAAUUCUAAAGUCGUAAGACGCUUUGGGAUCGGCCUAGGUCCGAUCAGCUAGAAGGUGUGGUAACGGCGCACCUUGGCUAUGACCGGUAGGGAGGGUGAGAGCCCGUUUCCCAACGACGCAACUGAGACACGGUGCGUACUCCUACGGGAGGCAGCAGUCGAGAAUAUUCGACAAUGGGCGAAAGCCUGAUCGAGCGACGCCGCGUGGAGGAUGAAGGCCUUCGGGUCGUAAACUCCUUUUCUACGGGAUAAAGCCGCAAGGCUGAUAGUACCGUAGGAAUAAGGGGCUGCAAACCUCGUGCCAGCAGCCGCGGUAAUACGAGGACCCCAAGCGUUGUCCGGAUUUAUUGGGCGUAAAGGGCGCGUAGGGUGUUUUGCGCGUCUUCCGUUAAAUUUCACCGCUCAACGGUGAAACCGCGGAGGAUACGGCGAAACUAGAGGGCGUAAGAGGCAGAUGGAACGCACGGUGUAGGGGUGAAAUCCGUUGAUAUCGUGCGGAACACCAAAGGCGAAGGCAUUCUGCUGGGACGUUCCUGACCCUGAGGCGCGAAAGCGUGGGGAGCAAACGGGAUUAGAUACCCCGGUAGUCCACGCCCUAAACGAUGCUGACUGGCUGUCUCGAGUAUCGACCCUCGGGGUGGCGAAGCUAACGCGUUAAGUCAGCCGCCUGGGAAGUACGAGCGCAAGCUUAAAACUCAAAGGAAUAGACGGGGACUCGCACAAGCGGUGGAGCAUGUGGUUUAAUUCGAUGGUAAACGAGAAACCUUACCAGGGCUUGAAAUUCCAAACGAAAUCGUCCCGAAAAGGACGAUGUCUCUCAAGGACGUUUGGGACAGGUGCUGCAUGGUUGCCGUCAGCAUGUGCCGUGAGGCGCUCCCUUAAAUGGGGUAACAUGCGCAACCCCUGCCGUCUGUUACAAGUGUCAGACGGGACUGCCUGCUUAUAGCAGGAGGAAGGCGGGGAUGACGUCAAAUCAGCAUGGCCCUCUGAUGCCCUGGGCUACACACAUGCUACAAUGGCAAGUCACAGCGGGCCGCGAAGCCGCAAGGCGGAGCUAACCCCUUAAAACUUGCCUCAGUUCAGAUUGAGGGCUGCAACUUGCCCUCAUGAAGUCGGAAUCGCUAGUAAUCGCGGAUCAGCAUGCCGCGGUGAAUACGUUCUCGAGUCCUGUACUCACCGCCCGUCACACCAAGGGAGCCGGGAAUACCUGAAGUUCGCCUCGUGCGGGUUAGGGUAAGCUCGGUGACAUGGGUGAAGUCGUAACAAGGCACGCGUAGCGGAAGCUGUGCGUGGAUCAAUUAAAUU
rfam:Parcubacteria (Jorgensenbacteria) bacterium GW2011_GWB1_50_10 TY55_C0003, whole genome shotgun sequence.